rnacentral:rRNA from 1 species
AUACGUAGGGGGCGAGCGUUGUCCGGAAUGAUUGGGCGUAAAGGGCGCGUAGGCGGCCCGGUAAGUCUGGAGUGAAAGUCCUGUUUUUAAGAUGGGAAUUGCUUUGGAUACUGUCGGGCUUGAGUGCAGGAGAGGUAAGUGGAAUUCCCAGUGUAGCGGUGAAAUGCGUAGAGAUUGGGAGGAACACCAGUGGCGAAGGCGACUUACUGGACUGUAACUGACGCUGAGGCGCGAAAGUGUGGGGAGCAAACAGGAUUAGAUACCCUGGUAGUCCACACUGUAAACGAUGAAUGCUAGGUGCAGGGGGUAUCGACCCCUUCUGUGCCGCAGUCAACACAAUAAGCAUUCCGCCUGGGGAGUACGGCCGCAAGGUUGAAACUCAAAUGAAUUGACGGGG